GAUGAACGCUGGCGGCGUGCCUAAUACAUGCAAGUCGAGCGAACGGACGAGAAGCUUGCUUUUCUGAUGUUAGCGGCGGACGGGUGAGUAACACGUGGAUAACCUACCUAUAAGACUGGGAUAACUUCGGGAAACCGGAGCUAAUGCCGGAUAAUAUUUUGAACCGCAUGGUUCAAAAGUGAAAGACGGUCUUGCUGUCACUUAUAGAUGGAUCCGCGCUGCAUUAGCUAGUUGGUAAGGUAACGGCUUACCAAGGCAACGAUGCAUAGCCGACCUGAGAGGGUGAUCGGCCACACUGGAACUGAGACACGGUCCAGACUCCUACGGGAGGCAGCAGUAGGGAAUCUUCCGCAAUGGGCGAAAGCCUGACGGAGCAACGCCGCGUGAGUGAUGAAGGUCUUCGGAUCGUAAAACUCUGUUAUUAGGGAAGAACACAUGUGUAAGUAACUGUGCACAUCUUGACGGUACCUAAUCAGAAAGCCACGGCUAACUACGUG
rnacentral:rRNA from 1 species